rnacentral:rRNA from 1 species
CUGCCUGGUAGUGGGGGACGAACGUUUCGGAAGGAACGCUAAUACCGCAUACGUCCUACGGNGAAAGCAGGGACCUUCGGGCCUUGCGCUAUCAGAUGAGCCUAGGUCGGAUUAGCUAGUUGGUGAGGUAAUGGCUCACCAAGGCGACGAUCCGUAACUGGUCUGAGAGGAUGAUCAGUCACACUGGAACUGAGACACGGUCCAGACUCCUACGGGAGGCAGCAGCC